rnacentral:lncRNA from 1 species
CCUGAUUUCUUCCUUGCUCCCCCAUCCACCAAUGAAUCCCGCUCCCCUCCGCCCCCCCAAAAACCACACACACACACACACACACACACACACACACACACAGAGUAAGAAAAUAGAACCAGGUCAGGUACAUUAAAAGAAGUUUGCAAUUUUGCUCCAGACCAUGUUUCUCUAAAUGUGUUGGUUUCAUCCUUACCCUGGUAAAGUCUAUCAACGGAUUUGCAGUUGAGUUGAUUUUAUACAGGUCCAAAGGGGAUCUUCGAGGCUGCCAGAAAGGUCCUUGGUAUCCUGGAGGACGUGCCCGCAGUGUUCUUUCCAACUUGGUAGAGACCAACUUUCAGCUUGCUUGGGAUGAAAGGAGUUCGAAGGAAGGAUGA